rnacentral:lncRNA from 1 species
AAAACAAGGGUGAGUACAAAAGUACUCAACAAGUCCAACCCCAUCCACGGAGGGGGAUACAAUCAAGAAUAUGCACAGGAUAUAUCAAGGAUAAGGCUAGAGUUUAUUUGCAAUAAAGCUAGAUUUUUAACACAUGCACGGGUUCAUUUUCAAAAGAAUUUUUGCAAAGCAUUUGUUUUAAUAACCAAAUCAAUAAGUGGGGUUGAUCCUACACAAAGGAUCCAAGUUUC